GUCUGAGCAGAUUUGAAUCAAAUUGCACGGGAUUCAAAAUCCCGCGACUUCGGUCAUGUGGGUUCGAGUCCCACCUCCGGCACCA
rnacentral:tRNA from 1 species